CUACGGGGGGCUGCAGUGGGGAAUAUUGGACAAUGGGGGAAACCCUGAUCCAGCAAUGCCGCGUGUGUGAAGAGGGCCUGCGGGUUGUAAAGCACUUUCGGUUGGGAGGACUGCUUCUAGCACUAAUAUUGUUGGAAGUUGACGUUACCUUCAGAAGAAGCACCGGCUAACUCCGUGCCAGCAGCCGGCGGUAAUACGGAGGGUGCAAGCGUUAAUCGGAAUUACUGGGCGUAAAGCGCGCGUAGGCGGCUAGAUCAGUCGGGUGUGAAAGCCCCGGGCUUAACCUGGGGACUGCAUCCGAUACUGUCUAGCUUGAGUACAGGAGAGGAGGGUGGAAUUCCACAUGUAGCGGUGAAAGGCGUAGAUAUGUGGAGGAACACCAAUGGCGAAGGCAGCUCUCUGGCCUGAUACUGACGCUGAGGUGCGAAAGCGUGGGGAGCAAACAGGAUUAGAUACCCUCGUAGUC
rnacentral:rRNA from 1 species